rnacentral:piRNA from 1 species
UGACAAUUGGCACAGCUGUGCUGGGGA